UCGGUAUGUACUGGCUUUACUGAUUCCUCCUUCUUGACGAACCGUGAUGCCAUUAAUUUGGUGUUGCGGGAAAUCAGGACUGUUACUUUGAAAAAAUUAGAGUGUUUAAAGCAGGCUAACGCUUGAAUACAUUAGCAUGGAAUAAUGAAAUAGGACGUUAAUCCUAUUUUGAUGGUUUCUAGGAUCGACGUAAUGAUUAAUAGGGAUAGUUGGGGGCAUUAGUAUUCAAUUGUCAGAGGUGAAAUUCUUGGAUUUAUUGAAGACUAACUACUGCGAAAGCAUUUGCCAAGGAUGUUUUCAUUAAUCAAGAACGAAAGUUAGGGGAUCGAAGACGAUCAGAUACCGUCGUAGUCUUAACCAUAAACUAUGCC
rnacentral:rRNA from 1 species